rnacentral:rRNA from 1 species
UGAGGAAUAUUGGUCAAUGGGCGAGAGCCUGACCCAGCCAAGUAGCGUGCAGGAUGACGGCCCUAUGGGUUGUAAACUGCUUUUAUGUGGGGAUAAAGUGCGUGACGUGUCAUGCAUUGCAGGUACCACAUGAAUAAGGACCGGCUAAUUCCGUGCCAGCAGCCGCGGUAAUACGGAAGGUCCGGGCGUUAUCCGGAUUUAUUGGGUUUAAAGGGAGCGUAGGCUGUCUAUUAAGCGUGUUGUGAAAUAUACCGGCUCAACCGGUGGCUUGCAGCGCGAACUGGUCGACUUGAGUAUGCAGGAAGUAGGCGGAAUUCAUGGUGUAGCGGUGAAAUGCUUAGAAAUCAUGACGAACUCCGGUUGCGCAGGCAGCUUACUGUAGCAUAACUGACGCUGAUGCUCGAAAGUGCGGGUAUCAAACAGG